rnacentral:rRNA from 1 species
AACGAACGCUGGCGGCAUGCCUAACACAUGCCAGUCGAACGAGACCUUCGGGUCUAGUGGCGCAAGGGUGCGUAACGCGUGGGAACCUGCCCUUAGGUUCGGAAUAACUCCCCGAAAGGGGUGCUAAUACCGGAUAAUGUCUUCGGACCAAAGAUUUAUCGCCUUUGGAUGGGCCCGCGUUGGAUUAGCUAGUUGGUAGGGUAAAAGCCUACCAAGGCGACGAUCCAUAGCUGGUCUGAGAGGAUGAUCAGCCACACUGGGACUGAGACACGGCCCAGACUCCUACGGGAGGCAGCAGUGGGGAAUAUUGGACAAUGGGCGAAAGCCUGAUCCAGCAAUGCCGCGUGAGUGAUGAAGGCCUUAGGGUUGUAAAGCUCUUUUACCCGGGAUGAUAAUGACAGUACCGGGAGAAUAAGCUCCGGCUAACUCCGUG